rnacentral:rRNA from 1 species
CACGUAGGGCGCGAGCGUUGUCCGGAAUUAUUGGGCGUAAAGAGCUCGUAGGCGGCCUGUUGCGUCCGCUGUGAAGCCCGGGCUAACCCCGGGUCGGCAGUGGAUACGGGCAGGCUAGAGGUAGGUAGGGGAGAAUGGAAUUCCCGGUGUAGCGGUGAAAUGCGCAGAUAUCGGGAGGAACACCGGUGGCGAAGGCGGUUCUCUGGGCCUUACCUGACGCUGAGGAGCGAAAGCGUGGGGAGCGAACAGG